rnacentral:lncRNA from 1 species
AAACAUUCGCCUUUUUAGUGAACGUGUUUGCACGUUAGACAUUGUAAGAGCUUCCUAUCUUGGUCAGAUCUUUCGCGAACUAUAGUUACUGCUAACCCGAAUUGCUAAGGUAGAAAUGUAAACGUGUUACUGAGUGCUGUACUUUUUCUGGGUACUUUGCUUUUCAAAAAACGUUGGAAAUAGAGAUAAAGAACUAGUAGUAAGACAAA